rnacentral:rRNA from 1 species
GUGGGGAAUAUUGCACAAUGGGGGAAACCCUGAUGCAGCAACGCCGCGUGAGUGAUGACGGCCUUCGGGUUGUAAAGCUCUGUCUUUGGGGACGAUAAUGACGGUACCCAAGGAGGAAGUCACGGCUAACUACGUGCCAGCAGCCGCGGUAAUACGUAGGUGACAAGCGUUAUCCGGAUUUACUGGGCGUAAAGGGAGCGUAGGCGGAUAAUUAAGUGGGAUGUGAAAUACCCGGGCUCAACCUGGGUGCUGCAUUCCAAACUGGUUAUCUAGAGUGCAGGAGAGGAGAGUGGAAUUCCUAGUGUAGCGGUGAAAUGCGUAGAGAUUAGGAAGAACACCAGUGGCGAAGGCGACUCUCUGGACUGUAACUGACGCUGAGGCUCGAAAGCGUGGGGAGCAAACAGGAUUAGAAACCCUAGUAGUCC